rnacentral:rRNA from 1 species
AUUGAACGCUGGCGGCAGGCCUAACACAUGCAAGUCGAGCGAGCGGCGGACGGGUGAGUAUUGUAUGGGGAUCUGCCCGAUAGAGGGGGAUAACUAUUGGAAACGGUAGCUAAUACCGCAUACUACCGGAGGAAUCCACAUGGGAUGAGCUAGUGGGGGGGGUAAUGGCUCACCAAGGCGACGAUCCCUAGCUGGUCUGAGAGGAUGAGCAGCCACACUGGAACUGAGACACGGCCCAGACUCCUACGGGAGGCAGCAGUGGGGAAUAUUGCACAAUGGGCGCAAGCCUGAUGCAGCCAUGCCGCGUGUAUGAAGAAGGCCUUCGGGUUGUAAAGUACUUUCAGCGAGGAGGCGUUACUCGCAGAAGAAGCACCGGCUAACUCCGUGCCAGCAGCCGCGGUAAUUC